ACUUAUUACCAUAUUAUUUCAAAUUUCACAAAAAAUUUCACAAUGUAUGUAAAAUAACAUGACAUAUGAGUUGACGCAAAUUCAAAUGACAGCCCAAAUAAUCUAUAUAAGAAGGUUUAUAAAGAAACACAAGUUCAUUAAAAGGCAACGUUUUUUGCUAUAGGUACGUAUUUAAUUGUUUUCGCGUAUUUAAAGUACCUACUUACCUAAUUAAUUAAAGGGUCUACAGAAAGAAUCAGAAUGGUAAGAGACAACUCCAUCGUUCGGGUGAUAACGUUAGCCUGCGCACUGUUAAUUUUUUUCAACAACUUGAAUUGCGUGAGAGCGCAAACGGAAUACGAUCAUUGUGACGAGAAUAAAUGCAAAGUCCUGUGUGAUCAACAGUCAUCAUCAUUUAAUCGUAUCACCCCGCGCGGGGGUAUCGUGACCAUUUCAAAAUUACGUAAUCCUGCGGGUAAUCGUGCGCCAUUGCUCCUUAUCUUGCGCGCUUCUCACGCAUUCAGCAAAGCUGCAGCCAGUCGCUUUGCGAAUAGAGUCAGUCCAUCGGGCCAAUGCCAGAUGUCUACUCAUAUUGCGAUGCAAACAGAUUCUGCCAAUGUAACAGAGGAAAGAAUCACCUGAAUCUGAAGUAUCAGAACGACUAACGUAUAGGUAAAUAAGUCACCAAAACUAGGAAGUUUAAUUAAGCAUUUAUUGUGCUAUCAUUACCUAGAAUUAAAUGCAUUAUAUAAUUUAAGGUUAUUCGCUGAUUCCUGAUUCAUACAUAAUUACAUAUGUACUUAUUACUUGCCUAA